UGAAAUUAUUGGGUUAUAAGAGUCUUGGGCCUGAAAUGAUUUGGCUUUCAGAGCCUUGGGCCUGGAAUGGAAAAUGUUCCACUACUCGAUGGCCCUGGACUUCUCUGGUUGUGAGAACCUGUGGUGCUAGAAUGUUCUAGUUCAAAGGUUUUGUGCUUCUGGAAGUCUGGAUCCAGGUGUCUGCAGUCCCAACACGGCGCUCCAGCUUACACCCCAACAACGGCCGUCAGUCUCAGAUCUUUGGGCUGCGAAGAGUCAGGAUCUCAGAGCCUGACACCAGGGGGCCUCAGUCUUCCCAUCUGGACACUGGAAGAGCUUUAAUGGCACCAACAAGCUGAUGUUGCCUUUCGUGACCACCUCAGUCCUGUGCCAGCUGCCUCUUCCAUGGCCCCAGAGAGAACACUGGAUCCCCCCUAACUGCUCCUCCCUGGCCUCUCCAGCCCUGGAAAUGGCACCACUGUUCACCCAGUUUCUUAAGCUAAAAACCCACGGGUGCCCCUGGCGGCCCACAGCGACACGGACGAAUCUCGCGUCGGGAGCAAAAGUCUACCUACGUCUCGCGA